CUGGCACCAUAUGCUUCAGUACUUUCAUCUGUGAAGACCCACUUGCUAACCCUACCAUGCACUAGAAAGACCAUUAUGUGGGGACACAGGUGCUUAUUAUGACCAAUGAACAGUCAUGUACAUGUAUACGUGGGUGGUCAAACUAUAUUCACCGGAUGGGUAUUUAUCAACACUCCCAUGUACACAAACAGCCUUGCCCCAGGAAUUUUGCCCUGAAGCAACAGUUUUCAAUCUAUUAAUGUGUCCUUUUUCUUAACAACCCUGACAGCCAGGAUAGAAGCUGAUUACAUGUACUUGACAGAAAAUGAUCAUGUCUUGGACAAGUCAAAGAAGUUCCUUCAGUCUUUCAGAGAAAUGACAGUUGAUGAAAGAUGG